rnacentral:rRNA from 1 species
AGAGUUUGAUCAUGGCUCAGGACGAACGCUGGCGGCGUGCCUAAUACAUGCAAGUAGAACGCUGAAGAGAGGAGCUUGCUCUUCUUGGAUGAGUUGCGAACGGGUGAGUAACGCGUAGGUAACCUGCCUUGUGGCGGGGGAUAACUAUUGGAAACGAUAGCUAAUACCGCAUAACAAUGGAUGACACAUGUCAUUUAUUUGAAAGGGGCAAUUGUUCCACUACAAGAUGGACCUGCGUUGUAUUAGCUAGUAGGUGAGGUAAUGGCUCACCUAGGCGACGAUACAUAGCCGACCUGAGAGGGUGAUCGGCCACACUGGGACUGAGACACGGCCCAGACUCCUACGGGAGGCAGCAGUAGGGAAUCUUCGGCAAUGGGGGCAACCCUGACCGAGCAACGCCGCGUGAGUGAGGAAGGUUUUCGGAUCGUAAAGCUCUGUUGUAAGUCAAGAACGGGUGUGAGAGUGGAAAGUUCACACUGUGACGGUAGCUUACCAGAAAGGGACGGCUAACUACGUGCCAGCAGCCGCGGUAAUACGUAGGUCCCGAGCGUUGUCCGGAUUUAUUGGGCGUAAAGCGAGCGCAGGCGGUUUGAUAAGUCUGAAGUUAAAGGCUGUGGCUCAACCAUAGUUCGCUUUGGAAACUGUCAAACUUGAGUGCAGAAGGGGAGAGUGGAAUUCCAUGUGUAGCGGUGAAAUGCGUAGAUAUAUGGAGGAACACCGGUGGCGAAAGCGGCCCUCUGGUCUGUAACUGACGCUGAGGCUCGAAAGCGUGGGGAGCGAACAGGAUUAGAUACCCUGGUAGUCCACGCCGUAAACGAUGAGUGCUAGGUGUUGGAUCCUUUCCGGGAUUCAGUGCCGCAGCUAACGCAUUAAGCACUCCGCCUGGGGAGUACGACCGCAAGGUUGAAACUCAAAGGAAUUGACGGGGGCCCGCACAAGCGGUGGAGCAUGUGGUUUAAUUCGAAGCAACGCGAAGAACCUUACCAGGUCUUGACAUCCCGAUGCUAUUUCUAGAGAUAGAAAGUUACUUCGGUACAUCGGUGACAGGUGGUGCAUGGUUGUCGUCAGCUCGUGUCGUGAGAUGUUGGGUUAAGUCCCGCAACGAGCGCAACCCCUAUUGUUAGUUGCCAUCAUUCAGUUGGGCACUCUAGCGAGACUGCCGGUAAUAAACCGGAGGAAGGUGGGGAUGACGUCAAAUCAUCAUGCCCCUUAUGACCUGGGCUACACACGAGCUACAAUGGUUGGUACGACGAGUUGCGAGUCGGUGACGGCGAGCUAAUCUCUUAAAGCCAAUCUCAGUUCGGAUUGUAGGCUGCAACUCGCCUACAUGAAGUCGGAAUCGCUAGUAAUCGCGGAUCAGCACGCCGCGGUGAAUACGUUCCCGGGCCUUGUACACACCGCCCGUCACACCACGAGAGUUUGUAGCACCCGAAGUCGGUGAGGUAACCUUUUGGAGCCAGCCGCCUAAGGUGGGACAGAUGAUUGGGGUGAAGUCGUAACAAGGUA